UACGGAGGGUGCAAGCGUUAUCCGGAUUCACUGGGUUUAAAGGGUGCGUAGGUGGGUCUGUAAGUCAGUGGUGAAAUCUCCGUGCUUAACAUGGAAACUGCCAUUGAUACUAUAGGUCUUGAAUUUUCUGGAGGUAAGCGGAAUAUGUCAUGUAGCGGUGAAAUGCUUAGAUAUGACAUAGAACACAAAUUGCGAAGGCAGCUUGCUACAGGGAUAUUGACACUGAGGCACGAAAGCGUGGGGAUCAAACAGG
rnacentral:rRNA from 1 species